rfam:Fukomys damarensis contig160128, whole genome shotgun sequence.
GGAUGUGAGGGCAAGCUGGCUGCAACAUCUGUCACUCCAUUGAUCACCAGGGUUGAUUUAGCUGAUCUGGCUGGCUAACGGGUGCCCCCUUCCUCACGACUUCAGGUGAGACCCUCCUGAAGAGGACCAUUUCCUCAGUCAAGGGUAUAUGAGUAGCUGUGCACCCCGCUAGAACCUGCAAACAAACUCUCAAAACAUUUGGGCUGUAGGAAACUGUCCUCAAGUCUUAACAGGUGUUAUUAGUCUCU